rnacentral:misc_RNA from 1 species
GUUUGAGCUGGAUCAGAGGGUGGACUUAGCUGGAUAUCAGCUGCUAGUUCAUGCCGCUUAUCUGAUUGGCGUCUUAAAGGGGCUGAAGCUGAGCAGUAAUUAACGGAUUGCUUGCCCUAAAACUAAAUUUGAUCAGUUUACUCUGCGGUAUUAGAAUAACUAACAGUGUUUUCCAGAGAUAUUUCAUAUUUUGAAGGUGGAGAUAGGAGCGCUCGGAUUUAUUUGGUUGGUGUCAGGAAAUAUUGGGUAUUAUUUAGCUUUAGCGGAUGCCGGAUUUUGUACUCGAGACUCGAGGUAACAUGUGGUGACUAGUGGGUUCUGUAGUCAAAGGAACCAUACUGAUCAUAUUGUUUUUGGUUGUUAAAAUUAAUCAGCAAAAUGAGUUUAGAAAACGAAGAGCAACAUGGAUUGAAUCAGCACGCUGAAGCAAGACAGGAAUCAGAAAAGAAGUUAAAAUUUUCUUAUACAAGAGAGUUUCUACUAUCGUUGAGUGAAUUGGAUGUUUGCAAAAAUUUACCAAGUGGAUUCGACCCAUCGCUUCUAAGUGAAUUUGAAGAUGCCUCGCAGGAUAGAUUCAGGAUUUCUGGCAGCUUAUCAUCCCAAAGUUAUAGACGUAAUGAAUAUGGUUCAUCACCACCCGCUAGAGGGGAUAUGAGUAAUUAUUCUCGGGGAAUUCAUGGAAGGUGGGAUAGUCGUUCCUCUGGAAGGAGUGAUCGUGACAGUGACUCCCAAUCUGACUGGGAUUCAGAUUCUGGAAAGCGUUUUGGCAAUCAGUCUCGGCGACCUUGGCAAGUUCCUGAGCAUGAUGGACUCCUUGGAAGUGGUUCUUUUCCAAGACCAUCCGGAUAUACUGCAGGGGCAUCAGCUCCAAAGUUUCGAGCUAAUGAUCACUA